ACAGAGGGUGCAAGCGUUAAUCGGAAUUACUGGGCGUAAAGCGCGCGUAGGCGGCUGUCUAAGUCGGGUGUGAAAGCCCCGGGCUCAACCUGGGAACUGCAUUCGAUACUGGACGGCUAGAGUAUGAGAGAGGGAGGUAGAAUUCCACGUGUAGCGGUGAAAUGCGUAGAUAUGUGGAGGAAUACCGGUGGCGAAGGCGGCCUCCUGGUUCAAUACUGACGCUGAGGUGCGAAAGCGUGGGGAGCAAACAGGA
rnacentral:rRNA from 1 species